rnacentral:rRNA from 1 species
UACGGAGGGUGCGAGCGUUGUUCGGAAUCACUGGGCGUAAAGCGCGUGUAGGCGGCCCACUAAGUCUGAUGUGAAAGCCCGGGGCUCACCCCCGGAAGUGCAUUGGAAACUGGUGGACUCGAGUCCCGGAGAGGAGAGUGGAAUUCCUGGUGUAGCGGUGAAAUGCGUAGAUAUCAGGAGGAACACCGGUGGCGAAGGCGGCUCUCUGGACGGUGACUGACGCUGAGACGCGAAAGCGUGGGGAGCGAACAGG